rnacentral:rRNA from 1 species
GUGAGGAAUAUUGGUCAAUGGGCGGGAGCCUGAACCAGCCAAGUCGCGUGAAGGAAGAAGGAUCUAUGGUUCGUAAACUUCUUUUGCAGGGGAAUAAAGUGCAGGACGUGUCCUGUUUUGUAUGUACCCUGAGAAUAAGGAUCGGCUAACUCCGUGCCAGCAGCCGCGGUAAUACGGAGGAUCCGAGCGUUGUCCGGAUUUAUUGGGUUUAAAGGGUGCGUAGGUGGUUUGAUAAGUCAGCGGUGAAAGUUUGCAGCUUAACUGUAAAAAUGCCGUUGAAACUGUCGGACUUGAGUGUAAAUGAGGUAGGCGGAAUGCGUGGUGUAGCGGUGAAAUGCAUAGAUAUCACGCAGAACUCCGAUUGCGAAGGCAGCUUACUAAGCUACAACUGACACUGAAGCACGAAAGCGUGGGGAUCAAACAGGAUUAGAUACCCGGGUAGUCC